AUGACCGUAAUUCCAGCUUUCUCAAGAUCCUCAACCUCAUCCUUGAUGGCCAAAGCAAUUUGAUAACAGGUCUCAAAUCUAGUACAAACAUAGAAAGGUAUUGUCAAUAUAUUAAAUUAACAGCCUGCAAACCAAGCAUGGUUAUAUUAGUUAUAUUUUUAUCCCUACCUGGGCUGGUCAUUUCUGACGAAGGACCAGUUCAAAAUGGUAACAGGACCAGUAAGCAUUCCCUUCAUGGGUCGCUUAGUCAUACUUUGAGCCAAUGAAGACCAGAACACAGUCAUGGCCUUGGGGCGGCUCACAUCACCAUAGAUGAUAGGAGGCUUGACGCAGCGAGAACCAUAAGAUUGGACCCAGCCAUU
rnacentral:lncRNA from 1 species